CUUAGUUUUAUUUUCAAACUGUUCCUGAUGGGUGCAGUCCCCUCCAGUUGCCUCUGAAGGAGGAAGGUUCAAGGCAGCCCCCAGCCCCACGAGGGUCACUCAGGUUCCAUGGUCCCCAGUCCCCUUUGCAUCCCCAGGAUCCCCUGUUUGGGGCCAGGAGUUUGGCAGAAGUUACAGGAUCAAAGGAUGAGUGAGCCGGCCCUGUGUGGGCAGAGCUGACAGGGUCUCACAUCUUGGCCUGUUUGCUUCAGACGGGAUCUGGGAACUUGUCUGGAAUCACAUCUAAAGCAGGAUCUGACGCCGCUGCUCCCACGUCACGUGAGUUGUGGUUUUGGUCUAGGUUUGACUUUUAGAAUUGCAGAAAAUCACAGUCUCGUGUUUAUAGGAGAGAGCAUUUCACUGGUGAGAGAAUAAAACCAGCCAGAAUAAAUCACGAGCUGGUCCUGGGCAGGAGUUACACUUUUCAUUGCAUCUGCUCCAUCCCUGGGUGUUUCACCAUGGACAAGUUUGAUGUACACCAGCACUGCGUGGAAGGGCCAGCUCUCAUUAUCUUGAUUUCCAUUUCCUCCAAAUCCCAGUGCUCCUCCAAGACACGGCCCUGCAGGCAGGACAGGCUCGUCCCGUCUUUCGGUUCUUGAAACCAGUCUGAGAACUCAAACUGCUCUGGGGCGAGCCCUCAUCUCUGCCCUGGAUCCAGCCCCAUUCCCAGGCACUUUUGCAUUGCACUUAAUUUUCUCAUUGCCCAGAUUUUUCCUCACUUCUCUGUAGGUGCUGGAUUCUUGCACUGACCAUCCUGGGGAAUCUGGGGAUGUUGGCACGGGCAGACAUUCUGAAACCCUCGAGCCCCUGUUUUCCAGCAUCCCAGCUCCUCACUCACACGAGCUGUGCAGAUUUCUCUCCAGGGCGUGUUUUCCAUGGAUACCUCAACGGAGGCAGCACCAAGUAACAAAAAGAACCACGCUCCUGCCUCUGCCGCGGUGCCCGGGAGGGUCCCGGAGCUCCGGGCUCAGUGCAAAGCUGGACUUGCUGCAGGUAUUAAUAGCGCCCAUUUUGUAGCCAGCAGUAAUUCCCCGCCGUGUUUUCCCCUCCACGCUGAAAACAAACCCUUCACUUGAUCCGUUUGUCCUCUCCAGUUGCCAUCUGUCUUCCAUCCUUCAAAUCUCACCUUAAAAACAGUGCCUCUUGAGCAAAUCCUCCCCGCCAGCCCCGCGUGCCGUCUCGCCCGGCGCAGGCCUGACACUACAAGCGCUCAUUGAAGUGGAGGGGAUUUGAGAGCGCCCAGGACACGGCGGGAUUAAGGGCACAGAUUGUGCUCCCCGGGCUGCAGCUCUGCCUGCCUGGAGCUCUGUUCCCUCCCCUUUGCAUCAGCGAUGUGUGCACGGGCAUCCCCAGCCCUGCGCCCUUCAGGUGCCGGUGGGAUGCAGGGAAGCGCCUGAGCCGCCUCCCUGGUGCCUCCGGGUGCUUUCCUGUGCAGGGGGGAGCAGGAGAGGUCACAGCGUGUGCCCUGCUGGGGAAGAGCAGCGGUUUCACACACGGGGCUGCUGAUUGCACAGAUGUUCAGGUGCUGUCUCACCUCACAGCAUCCCAUCCCAUCCCAUCCCAUCCCAUCCCAUCCCAUCCCAUCCCAUCCCAUCCCAUCCCAUCCCAGGGGCAGCAUCUGCGGGUGGCCCGGGCCAAGCCGUGAAUCACCCGCACAUCAAAGCGCCGGCAGCGCAGCUCUCACAGCCCCGCAGCCGCUCCGAGAGGACAGGGCCUGUGCAGAUGUUCAGCAGCAGCUUUUCUCAAUUACAGAGAGCAGCAGAAUUUGCCAGAAAAGCCAGGGAAAGGGAGGGAAAGAGUCCUGGCCAGUGGAGAGCCGGAGCAAAGAGCCCACACAUCCCUCGAAGCUUCAGACCGGCACAUCACUACCUGCCUUCAUUUUAGCUCCAUUUAAAAUUCAGUUUAGCACUGAAUUGCCUCCCAUUCCCCUCCAGCCCUUGCUGUGGUGAGGAUCACCUGCUCCCAUCAAAAUCUUGGUCUCUUUAGGAAAACCCCUCCUUGCUGGGCAUAGAGGGGAGCUCAGACUUCUGAUCCAAGCCUUUGGAGCUGGUGAGGUUCCUCCUGGAAAAUAAAUGCACGUGAUAUCA